rnacentral:rRNA from 1 species
UACGUAGGGUGCAGGCGUUAAUCGGAAUUACUGGGCGUAAAGCGUGCGCAGGCGGUUUGCUAAGACAGGUGUGAAAUCCCCGGGCUUAACCUGGGAACUGCGCUUGUAACUGGCAAGCUAGAGUGUGGCAGAGGGGGGUGGGAAUUCCACGUGUAGCAGUGAAAUGCGUAGAGAUGUGGAGGAACACCGAUGGCGAAGGCAGCCCCCUGGGCUAACACUGACGCUCAUGCACGAAAGCGUGGGGAGCAAACAGG